rnacentral:rRNA from 1 species
UACGUAGGUGGCAAGCGUUGUCCGGAUUUACUGGGCGUAAAGAGCGCGCAGGCGGUUAUUCAAGUCGAAUGUGAAAGCCCCCGGCUUAACUGGGGAGGGUCAUUCGAUACUGUUUAACUUGAAGGCAGGAGAGGGUAGUGGAAUUCCCGGUGUAGUGGUGAAAUGCGUAGAUAUCGGGAGGAACACCAGUGGCGAAGGCGGCUUCCUGGCCUGUUCUUGACGCUGAGGAGCGAAAGCGUGGGGAGCGAACAGG